GAUGCACUUGUCCAUCAGUAUUGAUGAGGAUGUCCAGCAGACCUUGUCAUUUUUUCAGAAGAUCCAAGCAAGACGUGGAGGUCUACAUUUGUUAGGUUCUCAAGAUGCAUCUUUCCGACAUCUUAUUGAGUCAUUUCCACGACUUCUUUUGCUACCUAAGGAGAGUCAUAUGAAGCGCCUGAUGGUAUUUCUUGAUGAUAUUGGAGUGGUGGAAGGAUGUAAGAGACAAAUUCUUCUUUUAUUUCCGCCUAUUAUUUUCUAUGACAUUGAAAAGGAUGUUAGACCAAGACUGCAGGCGAUCCUUAAGGAUGGUCUGGAGGCUAAAGAUUUUGGGCAGAUGUUGCUGAAAUAUCCAUGGAUUCUUU
rnacentral:misc_RNA from 1 species